GUCAGCCAGGCCCAGCCCAGCCCCUGAAGGAGGCAGACCCAUGGGAACCAGAAUAUUUCCUAAUCCUGGGAAGCCCUGACAGGCCCCUGCGAGCAGUCUUCCUUCCGCCUCACCCCAAGUCCUCUCCGUGCUCCCUCUUCAGGGCCCCUCCCACUGCGCCCUUCAUUCUUCUCCAGCCCAGAAGCUGUUGUGACGGUGACUCGGCCUCCACUCCUCCUGGCCCCUCCUCGCCAGGGACUUCCCUGGGGUGGGCCUCUCACCAGCUUUGGAAAAUCUGGGCUGUUUGUGAUCAAACAGGAGGCUGCCUCACUGCACGCCCCAGGCUCGCUCUCUCUGUUAGAGGCCCGACCACAGAAAGGUCCAGCUGGCUCUGGAGGAGAGCAGGGACUAGAGAGAAAAAGGCGAGCUGAGAAGGCCGGGCAAGAAGAGGAGGGCAGGAAGAGGAAAUCGGAAAUGGAGGAAGAGAAGGCAAGAGGAGGUGGGGGAUUCCAGCGCCCAGGGUCCUGAGGAAAUCACCGGAGGGCCAGCCCACAUCCUCCUGCCCCUGGUUCGUAUCCCAUCUGUUUCCACUUAGUUUCUGCGGCUUCUCUACAGGCAAGGAAA
rnacentral:lncRNA from 1 species